UGAGGACAUUAUGCAGGUUGUCUUCAUCCUGUAGAAAAUAUUCAAUCAUGGCGGCUGGCGCGGCUGCGGCCCUGUUGGAUGAAUUGAUGGGGCGAGAUCGGAAUCUCGCCCCGUCAGAACAGAGAAGUGAGACACAUUGGAGUGAUCCUGAGGUAUGCAAGUAUUUUUUGUGUGGAUUUUGCCCACAUGAGCUGUUUGUCAACACCCGUGCAGAUUUAGGUCCCUGUGAUAAGAUUCAUGAUGAUCUUUUGCGGAAAGAAUAUGUGAAGAGUACACGGUUUGAGAGGAUGGGUUAUGAGGAUGAUUUCAUGAGGUUCUUACAAGGUCUUAUAUCUGAUGUUGAGAAGCGAAUACGCAGAGGACAUAUGCGGCUUGCAUUGAACAGCACACAGGGAUCUCUCAAUGGUAACUUACCAUCUCAGAAAGAAGAAAAAAUAACCAUGCUUACAGAGAAAAUAAAUGAACUUGUCAAUCAGGCUGAACAGCUGGGCUGUGAGGGAAAGGUGGAAGAGGCACAAGGGGUGAUGAAACUCUGUGAUCAGCUCAGAGAAGAACGAAGACAGUUGGAAAAUAACGAGACGGGUGCGUAUUACACUGAUCCUGAGAAGACCCUGGAAGUGUGUGGAUGUUGCUCUGCUUUGUUAGUUGUUGGGGAUGCCCAACAGCGCAUCGAUGAACACUUAAUGGGGAAACAACAUAUGGGGUAUGCCAGAAUCCGUGCCUUUUUAGAAGAACACAAACAGAAAAAAAUACAAGCAGAUAUGGAUGAGAGAGAAGCCAAAGAGGCUAAACUGGCACAGGAACGAGAAGAAAGGGAAAAAGAGAGGGAAAAAGAAAGGGAAGAUAGACGUAAAAAGGAAAAAGAGAAAGAAGAUGAAAAGAAGCGUGAACGGGAAAAGGAGCGAGAGAAAAGGAGGAAGCGAAGCAGGUCUCGCAGUAGGCGGUCACGAAGUAGAGAAAGAAGAUCACGUAGCCGUGACAGAAGAAGAAGCUCAAGUCGAGACAGAAAAAGAAGAUCUCGUAGUCGUAGCCGACAUCGUCACAGGUCUCGAAGUCGAGACCGUCAUAAGUCUAGCCGUCACCGAUCCAGAUCAAGAAGUAGAGGUCGCAGGUCAAGAAGCAGAGAUCGGAGGUCAAGGAGUAGAGGCCACAGGUCACGUAGCAGGGAUCGCAGGUCACGUAGCAGAGGAAAGAGUCGACGUUCACGAAGUAGAGAUAAACGUUCUCGCAGUAGGGACAAGAGCUCGAGGAAACGCUCAAGAAGCCGAGACAAAAACCGUAAGAGCAGAGAAAAAGGGAAGAAGAGUGAAGAGAAGGAUUACAACGGGAGGCAGUCCACCGAGAAAGACAGGGAGGAAGAGCGGGAGAAGGUGAACGAGAAAGACACUAACACCAAGAUCAGUGAAACCAAGACACCGAGUGAAAAUGACAAGACAGAGGAGACACCCAUGGAGCAGGAGACAAAAACACCAGCAGCCAUUGAAUCAGAAGGUGACUCAAAAUAUGAUGCUUGAGGUACCUUGAAGACAUCACAGGUAAGUGAAAACAAUGACGGCAUACCUUGCUGCUGUUAGUGUAAACGCCUUUCACUUUCCAGCUCAACAGGUGAGUGAACGUUUGACAUAACCUCUCCUUCUAUGGAGCCUGCUGAAAUUUGUACUGUUAUUGAAGAUCUUUUCAUUCAUGUUUGUGAAAGUAUUUGAUAUUUUGUCAUUGGAAAAAUACAGAACAUUGUGAUUUUAGCAGGUUUCAUUUGUGGUGAUAUCUUGUGUGCAUGUGCCUACACAUGUGAAUCUGUAUGCUUUAAGUCUUUCACAACUUAGUUUAAAUAUGCAUUUUAAAUGUGUGAGGCUGCUAACAUAAGAUUUUACCUCAAUAGUAGGAACGAGAGGUUAUGAAUGUGAACACAAAUAUUUUCUGGUAUGUACAAAAUAUUAAUUAGCAUGUUUUCUUCACAUAUUUUAAAGUGUAAAUUAAGAGUCUUAUAUAAUGGUUGAAUGGCAUAAAGCAGGUCUCAUGUACAUAUAAAAUGUAGGCCAUAUCUUAAAGGACAAAGAAGCACUUAAUAUCUGCUUUUCUUUCAACCAUUUUUAUCAACCAGAAAAUAUUUUAUGUUGAUUUCUUUGAAAUCAAAUAAUUUUAACGAAAGUUUAACUCAAUAUCAUUUCAUUUAUUUUGAAGUAUGUCUAAACUGGAAAAGAUUUUUUUUUUUUUUAUCGAUUAAAAUUUAUUUCUAAUAAUAUCAGUUUAAGUAUUUUGACAUGUAAUUGCGCAUGAAGUAGUCUGAGUUUGCUUUAAUGGCCACCUAAGAUGGAGCGCCUGCUACUCUUGUAGCAUCAACUAUGUAGUGUUAAUGCCUCUCUCGCCCCAAGUGAUGCCACUAGCGUAAGACGAUGUAGCGAGAGCCAGUCAGAUGAAGGAACCACAUCACCGCUGUUCAUUUCACAAUUACGGAAUAACAAAGUUAUAUCUCACCAGGUAUUUCAUGUGGUGACAGAUUAAUAUUUAGAACAAUUUGCCUUUAAUAACAACUUGUGACCCUUUGUGGUGAUUCUAAAAGCUUCAUUUUAAAAACACCAAGUUGUUAUCAUGGGCAAUAACAUCAAUGCAUGUUCCUGUUUUGAGCUGAAGUAUUGGGUAAUUGUAUUCCACAUUUUGUAGUCACUGCUAAUGUUGUUUUAUUCAGGGAAGGGGUCAUUUCAUAAUUUGGAGGUGAACAAAAUCAAAGGAACAGUUUUCUGUGUAGUGCAAAUGUUAUUUCUAUGACAAUUCACAUUCAUAUAAAACCACAGGAAAAAGCUUCCAAGUAUAGUCGUCAAUGAAUAAGUUUUUUACAAUAUUAUCUUUCUUUUGGCAGUGAACUCAUCACAUAAUAUACAGUAAUUAUUUUACUUAUUUUAAGACUCAGAGCAAGUUAUGCCUCAACAGAUCACUGUUCCAAGAAUAGGAUGUAUUUGGCAUAUAAAUAUGGGCUUAAAAUGAUAAUUUCAUUUAUCAUUAUACCCUUGAUCCAUUUCAAAUUUCAAAAUUGAAAAGUCUACAGAAAUAUGUGGGUAGGCUGACAUAAGGAAGCACGAGAUACCAAGCUAUGUGUGACUGGUUUAAAUAUAAGGUUUCUGUUGCACUCAAGCCAAGAUGGGAGAAAUGAGGAGAGUCUGCGCUCAUCCUCCAUGAGAAUAGCCAUGGGACAUCGGAGCUGCGCUUUCAUCUCUCGUCUUAUUACGUUCAGAGAGCUUGCUCCAAGAUGCCUGUGGAGGACGAAGUCUUUCCAGAGUCGUGGAACUACCUAAAACAGAAAGAUUGUACUGGUUACAUCUGUUUACAACUUAAAUUUGGAUUAUAUGUAAUUGGGAUUUGAAAGGUUAGAUCUUUUCUGUCGAUAAGUAGAAUGUCCUCGUCUCCAUAAUUCAUUUUAUUGCCAUUUUCCACUGUAGAGAUUCAUUUCUUGUACAUUUUGUAAGUUUUUAAAGCCCACUAUUGCAGGUUCUGGAUCAGGCUACUGCAUAAAGGAUAUUAUGUUUGCUGUCCAUGAAUAAAUUUGCUGAAGUAUGA
rnacentral:misc_RNA from 1 species